CAGGGCUUGAGUCGAGCAGCCUGGUGCCGCCGCCGCACCCCACGGCCCCCCGCCCACAGCCCGGCCCCCUCCUCCCCACGCCCGCCACCCGCCGGGCUGCGGCGGUGACAGCAGAUUCCGCGUCCGGCAGCCGAGCGCUGCUCUCGCUUCCCGACCCCUCAGCUCCGCGUCCCCUUGCCGACUCACAAUGUGUUGACCCUCCCGGCCCCGCUGCACGCACCCGGGGUCUCCGGCCCCCGCGCUCCCUCAGGAAGUGACAGACUCCAGGCCCCUUCCUCCGCCCCGUCCCUCCGGACUGAACGCCACGCGCGUAUUCACACCCUCCCCCCCUUUCACACCAGGGCUAGCAACGCGACCAUGAGGCCCCGGAGGUAAGCAGCGCGCCCUGCGGCCGUGCGAGUUGCGAGUGUGGCCGGGUGUGCGCGCCUGUGCGGACGCCGCUCGCGGCCCGGAGUCUGGCACGUGAGCAACGUCGAGGGGAGCUCGGUGCAGUGGAGCAGGAAGAAAAGAGGAGGCGCGAGCGCCGGGGAGGGGGCAGGACAGGGAAAGGUGGGGAAGUGACAUGUCUCGCUGCAAGUUUGCCGUUCGGGAGCCGGAGCUGUGUCCUUCCUUCGCCAGCCCUGAUUUAUUGCCCCCGUGUUGCCACUGAGAUGCGGCGGUCGAUGUACUUCCGGGUUCACACCUUUCUCAGCCCGCUCCGCGCCACCGGGUCGGCGCUCGUUGCGGGCGAGGCGUUGCCAGCGCGGCUGCCCACGGUCGCUUCCGCGGUCGCGCCUGGGCGGCCGUAGCGGGCUGUGAGCAGUAGGGCCGGUCUGCGGGGCGGGAGGGGGCGCAGGCAACGCGGGGCACUAUGAUGCGGCGCGGGCUGGGGACCCGGCGGCGGGUCCGCGAGGCCGGUGCGGGCGCCUCGCACACGCGGGGCCGCGUCGCCAGGGGGCGUCCGUACCUGCCCUUCAAGUAUUCCGCAAACCGAGCUGCUUUGUAGCCGGCAGGCGUCGGGGAUCCUUUUUGCUUCGGUGUCGGUGAUGUAAAUUCAUGAAUUAAAAUUAAGGAUUUGAGGAGAACGGAGAAAAACGCACUUGGAUUUAGGCUGCUUUUGAAAACAAAACCAAAGAAGAAACGGUGCAUUUGCAGGAGUAUUAACUACUGACUGGGAACACUGGAUGCGGGUGCAUUGCGAAGAUUUGUACUCCAAAAACUUUUUUUUUAAAUUGCACGUUGGUAAACAUUGAGUGUUUUUGAGUAACAUCUUACAGUAUGUAUUUUGUGUCCUCAUUGCGGAAAUUUCUUAAAUGUUCUUCAGAGGAUGAUGAGGUCAUUCAACCAGGUUUCAUCAGCCCCAGAGUGAAUCCUUUGACAUGGAGAUGAUGCUCUAAUGAGUAUCAUGAAAAAGAAGAUUCUGAAAAGUUGCUACAAUAUUUUAAUUUACCAACUAGUUUCUGAUUACUAUAGAUUGUGGUUUUUCUGUGGGGUAAACUGGAGGCAGUCCAGAGACCUUUUUUCUUUUCUGUUGGGAAAUAAUGUUAACACCAAUGUGUUAAGUGACUGCAAUAAAGUUUCAUGUCUGUGUUUCCUUGUGAUUAAAAAGGGGUUGUCCCGGGAAAGGUUCCACUUUCACCAAAAGAAAGGUUAUUUCCAGAGAUUACAUACAUUUAAGCUGAAAGACUUGAACAUCGACUAGUUCAGGCUCCUCACAUUGGCAGAUGAGUAAACUGAGGCCUAGAGAAGCUUAGUGAUUAGUAAGGUCACAAGGUCAGUAAAUGGGAUCAGAACUCUGGCCUCCAGUUUCUAGCUGGAUACUCUUUCUCCACAGAUUUGCUUCCCAAACACAGGCAUUUUAAAGCCUGAAGAUUUCUUCUCACUUGCCUCAUCUUUUACUCCCUCACUGUUCUUUUCCUUCCUUUUUCCCAUCCACCUGGCCCCUUCUCCAAAAUAAACCCAAAGUGAGAAUAUUAAGAUAAGAUACUCUUAUUUCAGUUGAUUAUUUUGGUUUAAGUUAUAAAGAAUCAACUUUCAUUCAUUGCCUUGGGGGGAAGGGAAAGAAUUACAUGUUUGCAUUAUUUAGUGUCAUUUCUAUAGACUCAGAAUAUUUACUGCAAAAAGAUCUUUAAUUUAUGAAGCAUGCAUGUUCAAGUAGUACAGGUGAAAAAUACUUAUUUUUCAUGAAAGUUCCUUUAUAAAACAUGAAGCUUUUGUGCUAUUCUUGGCAAAAUAGCAUAGUGCUUUUUUACAAAAUGAUUUUUAACCUAUUUCUGUCCAUAUUAAGAAAGUAUUUGUUAAGCGCAGUUCAGAAGAUACUUGGGAGGAGUACUAACAUUCUUAGUUUUCCUUUUCAUUGGGGGAGUAUGUUACUAGAACAAGAUUUUUUUGCUAUUUCAGUUUUUUUAAAAGGAACUUUCUACAAAAUGGUGGUCUUAAAAUAAUGCCCCUUUUCUGAAUGAAUUUUAUUGCUCUAAAUAUGUUGCUGAAACACAACUGACCAAAAGAAGGAAACAUUUGCAAAUGAUUGUUUUUUGAAAUCUGAAAGCAAUUUCGCAAAUUUUAAAUGUAUGUUAAUUGGUUGCUGUAUUUCCAUAAUUUUAUUUAUACCUGGGGAAACGUGUUAAGAUAUUUAAGGGAAAAAAUUUUAAGAGAUUUUUACAGCUGUGUAAAAUUUCUCAAAUUGAAACAAUUGUGUUAAGCCAGAGCAUUUUGCUUCCAGAAAAGGAAAUUAAAUGAGAACGGAAUUUUGCUUUUUGAAAACAAAAACAAAAUGCCCCCAUAUUCUGAAGUGCCUUUACUAUAAGACCGAAGCACCCAGCCGAGUACACCUUUCAUUUGACUCCGUAUUGUGAGAAUUUCAAGAAAGUUAUUUGCCAAGUAGUUUGCUGAAACGCAGUGGGAGGGAUCGGGAAUAGUUUGCCCGACGUGCGGGUCGAAGCUUUUAGGCAAGAAACCUCACCCGCGGUCAGAGAGCGCGCGUUCUCUAAAAUCAUCCCGGGCGACCCCCGCUCCCUUCCCCGCCGGCGGCUUCUCCCGAGCCGCCAAAGGCGUACCGCGACGUUUCCGUGGCCGCCCUGAAGUAGGGCGCCAGGAGUCUGGCUGGAGAACGCUGCGUUUUAGGCACGGCCUGGUGGGGAGUGGCGGUGGUGGUCAUUUUCUCGGGUUCUGCUCAGCCCCUUCCCCCUUGACUUCCCUAAUCUUAGAUUUCCGAGACUCUGACAUCUCACAGAUAAAGAGAUCAAAUUAUAAAUGAUAUAUCUCUGGAAAUGCAGUAAAAGUAGUUGACUCUGCCAAGUGUUGUCUUCCAUAGUGGUGAAGGCAAGGAUUUCCUUUGUGUUCUUGGAGACAAAAUGACAAAUGUAAAAAUCCCUUAAUUAGUGAGAAAUCAUUAGCCUUCCUCGCAAAGUCUACACUUGUAGAGAGGAGGUGGUGAUGGGCUGAAUAAGGGAAAGGU